rnacentral:rRNA from 1 species
AUUGAACGCUGGCGGCAGGCCUAACACAUGCAAGUCGAACGAGUGGCGGACGGGUGAGUCAUGUCUGGGAAACUGCCUGAUGGAGGGGGAUAACUACUGGAAACGGUAGCUAAUACCGCAUACCAUCGGAUGUGCCCAGAUGUGAUUAGCUAGUCGGUGGGGAAACGGCUCACCUAGGCGACGAUCCCUAGCUGGUCUGAGAGGCUGACCAGCCACACUGUAACUGAGACACGGUCCAGACUCCUACGGGAGGCAGCAGUGGGGAAUAGUGCACAAUGGGCGCAAGCCUGAUGCAGCCAUGCCGCGUGUAUGAAGAAGGCCUUCGGGUUGUAAAGUACUUUCAGCUGGGAGGCGUUACCCGCAGAAGAAGCACCGGCUAACUCCGGGCCAGCAGCCGCGGUAAUAC